rfam:Schistosoma mansoni strain Puerto Rico chromosome 3, complete genome
GCUUUGCUGAAGAGUCCCACAAUAAGACGAAGCGGCCGUCCAGUGC